AAAAGCUCCACCUUCCUCCAAAGUCUAAUUUAUGCACCUUGAUGAUCUCACUCCCAAUCCCACGGCUUGGCCCUCAAACAGUAAGGUUCUCAUUAGCUGUUGGAAAGAAAAUUUUCUCUAAAUUUUCUCAGUUGUUAGGAGUGCGUCUCUUUUGUCUAUUAGCAGCAUGCAGCUUUUCUCUAUCUCUUUCGGACAGGGGAAGUUCCUUCUCUCUAAUUGGCUAUUGGUUUAAUCCUCUCCUUACCGAGGCAGGGAUUGUACAUAAUUUUAUGUUUCUAUUUUGGUUCACAAGUCUAUGGGUUGGCAGGGAGAAGAUUUCACGUGUGACUUGUUCUGGUUCUCUUUGUGCUAAUGUGCUUUGGCUGGUCUGUUUUAGUCUUGCAGCUUACAAAUUUGGUGAUGCAUGAUGUGAGGAGAAGCUGUGGUGAUAGCUCCUGAGGUGCAGACUAAAGGGCUGGCCUAGAAGGCGCGAGUGGAACGCCAAACAUCAUUGCCGUUUGUCCAAUGGUCUUACUGGAUUUAUUGCAUCCAAUGGAGGCUCUGAUAUUUUGACCCUUGUUGGACUGCCUGGAGGCUCUUGGGUUGCAUCUGGAAAAAGAAGAUCCUUCAAGCAUGGUCAGAAACAAAUACCUUGCAUGGUUGUCAUGUUGCUAAGAUGAGACUUCUUCGGUUCUGCUAUGAGUAUUUAAGUUUGUGCUGACAGCUGAAAGAUUGGCUUGGUGAUGGUGGCAACGCUGAGGGAUUUCUACGCAAGGAUUAUCGGUUCAUAAUUUAUUUGGGUCAAACAAUACGCAAUGAUGCCCUAGGAUUUCCUAAUUGGGCUUUUGCCACUUUUAUGGGUUUUAAGCACUAAGGUUGGCUGUUGUUAGGCUUUUUUUGGUCUUGUACUCAGUAUUCUAAAUCAAUGAAAUUUGCAUUUGCCUAUU
rnacentral:misc_RNA from 1 species